rnacentral:rRNA from 1 species
CCUACGGGUGGCAGCAGUGGGGAAUAUUGGGCAAUGGGCGAAAGCCUGACCCAGCAACGCCGCGUGAAGGAAGAAGGCUUUCGGGUUGUAAACUUCUUUUGACAGGGAAGAGCAGAAGAAGGUACCUGUCGAAUAAGCCACGGCUAACUACGGGCCAGCAGCCGCGGUAAUACGUCGGUGGCAAGCGUGGUCCGGCUUUACUGUGUGGAAAGGGCGUGUAGCCGGGCUGACAAGUCAGAUGUGAAAUCCGGGGGCUCAACCCCCGACCUGCAUUUGAAACUUUUGGUCUUGAGUAUCGGAGAGGCAGGCGGAAUUCCUAGUGUAGCGGUGACAUGCGUCGAUCUUAGGAGGAACACCAGUGGCGCAGGCGGCCUGCUGGACGACAACUGCCGGUGAGGCGCGAACGCGUGGGGAGCACACAGGAUUAGAUACCCUAGUAGUC